rnacentral:rRNA from 1 species
UACGAAGGGGGCUAGCGUUGUUCGGAUUUACUGGGCGUAAAGCGCACGUAGGCGGAUCGUUAAGUCGGGGGGUGAAAUCCUGGAGCUCAACUCCAGAACUGUCUUCGAUACUGGCGAUCUUGAGUCCGGAAGAGGUGAGUGGAAUUCCUAGUGUAGAGGUGGAAUUCGUAGAUAUUAGGAAGAACACCAGUGGCGAAGGCGGCUCACUGGUCCGGUACUGACGCUGAGACGCGAAAGCGUGGGGAGCAAACAGG